rnacentral:rRNA from 1 species
AGCUCCAAUAGCGUAUAUUAAAGUUGCUGCAGUUAAAAAGCUCGUAGUUGGAUUUGUGGGAUGGCCGUCCGGCGGGGGGCCAUUUAUUGGUCCCGUUUGUCCUGGUUUUCGGCCUUCCCUUUCUCGGGUCUAGCGUAUUGGCUGGCAUUAGGUUGUCGGCCGCUUCGCGCCCGUCGUUUACUGUGAAAAAAUUAGAGUGUUCAAAGCAGGCUUAGGCCGUUGGAUACAUUAGCAUGGAAUAAUGGAAUAGGACCUGUGCGUCUUUCGGGGCGCCGGUCUCCGUUGUUGGUUUCGGGGACUAAUGUAAUGAUUAAUAGGGAUAGUUGGGGGCAUUAGUAUUUAAUAGUCAGAGGUGAAAUUCUCGGAUUUGUUAAAGACUAACUUAUGCGAAAGCAUUUGC